AACUCUCUUUCAAUCUCAAACCAACAACUCUCUCUUUGCCAAUUCUUCUGCAAUUCCCAAAACAGAAACUAUCACAACUCUCAUCUCUCUUUCUCCACUCCCUCACGCUCACGCUCUCGCCCUCUUCCAUUCCCAAUUAAACAAAACUCAUUCGAUACUGCCGCUGUCGUUGACUCCACCGCAGUUGCUGACGCAUCAGCCGGUCAGCCGCUGCUGAUUGCUCGCACCAGCCACCGCUCAACAAUCCGUCACACCCUUUUCUGCUACAGCCUCUGCGUCGAAGGGAAGCCAAUCCCAGGAAACCACCUCCAGCCAACCACUAGCUACCCUACCGACUUCUUCCAUGGCCAAAAGGAAGAAAUGUGAGGAGCAGUCUGGCUCAUCGGGGAGCCAGAUGAAAAACUAAGCUAGCAGAACCAAACUUGAAUGAGGAAGGUGGAAGGUGGAAGUUCACCUUGGAAACUCAAGAGUUGGCGUUCUGGGGAGGAGAAGGAAGAAGCUUGGGCUUGCAAGGAGUUCUAUGAAGAAAUUGGGCUCAAAACAUCUCCCACAACUUUAAUUAAAUUGUUUGGGCUCAUUUAGUUGCAGAGCUAUAAUCUUAUUUAUUUGUUGGACUUUUUUUUUCCGAUUGUCAUGGCCCAAAGCCAUAAAAACAUUUGGACUCCAACUUUAUUUGAGAAGCCCAAGUGUAUAUACUUUACAUUCUCGCAUGUCUUUUUAUUAAUUAAAGUUCACGGAAAACUUUAA